rnacentral:rRNA from 1 species
AGUGGGGAAUAAUUGGAGCAAUGGGCGAAAGACCUCGAUCCAAGCCAUGCCGCGUGUUGUGAAGAAGGUCUUCGGAAUUGUAAAGCAACUUUAAGUUGGGGAGGAAAGGGCAGUUACUUAAUACGUGAUUGUCUUGACGUUACCGACAAGAAUAAGCCACCGGCUAACUCUGUGCCAGCAGGCCGCGGGUAAUUACAGAGGGGUGCAAGCGUUAAUCGGAAAUUACUGGGCGUAAAGCCGCGCGUAGGUGGUUUGUUAAGUUGAAAUGUGAAAUCCCCGGGGCUCAACCUGGGAACUGCAUCCAAAACUGGGCAAGCUAGAGUAUGGUAGAAGGGUAGUGGAAUUUCCCUGUGUAGCGGUGAAAUGCGUAGAUAUAGGAAGGAACACCAGUGGCGAAGGCGACUACUUGGACUGAUACUGACACUGAGGUGCGAAAGCGUGGGGGAGCAAACAGGAUUAGAUACCCUGGUAGUUCCACGCCGUAAACGAUGUCAACUAGCCGUUGGGAGUCUUGAACUCUUAGUGGCGCAGCUUACGCAUUAAGUUGACCGCCUGGGGAGUACGGCCGCAAGGUUACAACUCAAAUGAAUUUGACGGGGGCCCGCACAAGCGGUGGAGCAUGUGGUUUUAAUUUCGAAGCACCGCGAAGAACCUUACCAGGCCUUGACAUCCAAUGAACUUU